ensembl:snoRNA SNORD68 small nucleolar RNA MBII-202
UGAUGACAAAUCUCCGGAAUCUCUGUAUGUUCUUGAUGAAUAUAUUGAACCCUUUUUCUGAUGACUGCUUUAUUAUU